UACCAGCACCCCGAGUGGUCGGGGCGAUUAUUGGGCCUAAAGCCUCCGUAGCCGGCCUUACAAGUCCUCCGUUAAAUCCAGCUGCUUAACAGAUGGGCUGCGGAGGAUACUAUAAGACUAGGAGGCAGGAGAGGCAAGCGGUACUCAGUGGGUAGGGGUAAAAUCCGUUGAUCCAUUGAAGACCACCAGUGGCGAAGGCGGCUUGCCAGAAUGCGCUCGACGGUGAGGGAUGAAAGCUGGGGGAGCAAACCGG
rnacentral:rRNA from 1 species